GAAAUGUCCACUGAGGCAGUAGUGGUACAAAUGGUGACAUCAUGACAAAGUCCUUCUGGCUCUUCAAGGCUCAACUCGAAUGUCUGCCUCUUCUUUUGGAGGGGAUCCAGGCUUGGGUGAAAAUUUCCUCUCUUAGGGAAAGAAGACAGACUGCUGUGUUUGCCAUAUGCUGCCUCUGCGACAUGGGGAAGGGUGUCACUCUCUUCUGAGCCUCAGUUUCCCUCU
rnacentral:lncRNA from 1 species